rnacentral:rRNA from 1 species
GACGAACCGUGCGAACGUUAUUCGGAAUCACUGGGCUUAAAGCGCGUGUAGGCGGAUGGGGACGUCGGUCGCUGAAAUCCCCCGGCUCAACCGGGGAACUGGCCCCGAAACGCCCCGUCUGGAGGAACGUAGGGGGAUCUGGAACUUCCGGUGGAGCGGUGAAAUGCGUUGAGAUCGGAAGGAACGCCCGUGGCGAAAGCGAGAUCCUGGACGUCUUCUGACGCUGAGACGCGAAAGCUAGGGUAGCGAACGGG